AAAUUGAAGAGUUUGAUCAUGGCUCAGAUUGAACGCUGGCGGCAGGCCUAACACAUGCAAGUCGAACGGUAACAGGAAACAGCUUGCUGUUUCGCUGACGAGUGGCGGACGGGUGAGUAAUGUCUGGGAAACUGCCCGAUGGAGGGGGAUAACUACUGGAAACGGUAGCUAAUACCGCAUAACGUCGCAAGACCAAAGAGGGGGACCUUCGGGCCUCUUGCUAUCGGAUGUGCCCAGAUGGGAUUAGCUAGUAGGUGGGGUAACGGCUCACCUAGGCGACGAUCCCUAGCUGGUCUGAGAGGAUGACCAGCCACACUGGAACUGAGACACGGUCCAGACUCCUACGGGAGGCAGCAGUGGGGAAUAUUGCACAAUGGGCGCAAGCCUGAUGCAGCCAUGCCGCGUGUAUGAAGAAGGCCUUCGGGUUGUAAAGUACUUUCAGCGGGGAGGAAGGGAGUAAAGUUAAUACCUUUACUCAUUGACGUUACCCGCAGAAGAAGCACCGGCUAACUCCGUGCCAGCAGCCGCGGUAAUACGGAGGGUGCAAGCGUUAAUCGGAAUUACUGGGCGUAAAGCGCACGCAGGCGGUUUGUUAAGUCAGAUGUGAAAUCCCCGGGCUCAACCUGGGAACUGCAUCUGAUACUGGCAAGCUUGAGUCUCGUAGAGGGGGGUAGAAU
rnacentral:rRNA from 1 species